rnacentral:rRNA from 1 species
GUUUUCGGACCUAGAGACCGGCGCACGGGUGCGUAACGCGUAUGCAAUCUACCUUUUACAGAGGGAUAGCCCAGAGAAAUUUGGAUUAAUACCUCAUAGUAUUAUUGAAUGGCAUCAUUUAAUAAUUAAAGUCACAACGGUAAAAGAUGAGCAUGCGUCCCAUUAGCUAGUUGGUAAGGUAACGGCUUACCAAGGCAACGAUGGGUAGGGGUCCUGAGAGGGAGAUCCCCCACACUGGUACUGAGACACGGACCAAACUCCUACGGGAGGCAGCAGUGAGGAAUAUUGGUCAAUGGGCGCAAGCCUGAACCAGCCAUGCCGCGUGCAAGAUGACAGUCCUAUGGAUUGUAAACUGCUUUUGCACAAGAAGAAACACUCGGACGUGUCCGAGCUUGACGGUACUGUGAGAAUAAGGAUCGGCUAACUCCGUGCCAGCAGCCGCGGUAAUACGGAGGAUCCAAGCGUUAUCCGGAAUCAUUGGGUUUAAAGGGUCCGUAGGCGGUUUUGUAAGUCAGUGGUGAAAGCCCAUCGCUCAACGGUGGAACGGCCAUUGAAACUGCAAGACUUGAAUUAUUAGGAAGUAAC